ACUUUUUUUUUUUUUUUUUUUUUUUUUUUUUUUUUUUUUUUUUUGUUUAAUGCACCUUUAAUGC
rnacentral:ribozyme from 1 species